rnacentral:lncRNA from 1 species
ACGCACACACGCAGUCAAAAUUCAUUUGGAAUUUUAAGAAUUCGUCAAUCGUCGUGAAAUUAUAAUUAGAAGGACCUGAAUUUCUAUUUCUUUAUCAGAUUUGAAAAAAAAUCCGGUUUCAGUACCAGUUCAAUGGAGGAUCAAUCGAGAUUUUCUUACGUAAAGAAGCAAAAGGCAUCGUUUAAUAAUCAAAGGCCGGAAUCAUUCGCCGGCGAUUAUGACUUCGGAGAGAGUACUGAUCGGCGAUUCGCAUACUCCCGGCAAGCCUCAUUCCGUCAGUCAACCUCCACUGCUGAGCCUCAUACUCCAAUAUCGAUAAAUCCGUCAAACGGUUAUUUUUUGCACAACUCUGCUGAGGAUAAACUGUAUUCAUUUGGAAUUUUAAGAAUUCGUCAAUCGUCGUGAAAUUAUAAUUAGAAGGACCUGAAUUUCUAUUUCUUUAUCAGAUUUGAAAAAAAAUCCGGUUUCAGUACCAGUUCAAUGGAGGAUCAAUCGAGAUUUUCUUACGUAAAGAAGCAAAAGGCAUCGUUUAAUAAUCAAAGGCCGGAAUCAUUCGCCGGCGAUUAUGACUUCGGAGAGAGUACUGAUCGGCGAUUCGCAUACUCCCGGCAAGCCUCAUUCCGUCAGUCAACCUCCACUGCUGAGCCUCAUACUCCAAUAUCGAUAAAUCCGUCAAACGGUUAUUUUUUGCACAACUCUGCUGAGGAUAAACUGUCGUCGAAGGAUUUGGAUGAAAAGUUCUCCUUCAUUUCGUUAAUUUUUGGAGGUUUGAGGUCGGGAA